GAGUUUGAUCAUGGCUCGGAACGAACGCUGGCGGCAUGCCUAACACAUGCAAGUCGAACGAAGCCUUCGGGCUUAGUGGCGCACGGGUGCGUAACGCGUGGGAAUCUGCCCUUGGGUUCGGAAUAACAGUUAGAAAUGACUGCUAAUACCGGAUGAUGUCUUCGGACCAAAGAUUUAUCGCCCAAGGAUGAGCCCGCGUAGGAUUGGGUAGUUGGUGGGGUAAAGGCCCACCAAGCCGACGAUCCUUAGCUGGUCUGAGAGGAUGAUCAGCCACACUGGGACUGAGACACGGCCCAGACUCCUACGGGAGGCAGCAGUGGGGAAUAUUGGACAAUGGGCGAAAGCCCGAUCCAGCAAUGCCGCGUGAGUGAUGAAGGCCCUCGGGUCGUAAAGCUCUUUUACCAGGGAUGAUAAUGACAGUACCUGGAGAAUAAGCUCCGGCUAACUCCGUGCCAGCCGCCGCCGUAAU
rnacentral:rRNA from 1 species